ensembl:snRNA U6 U6 spliceosomal RNA
GUGCUCACCUCAGCAAUACAUGUGUUAAAAUUAGAACUAUACAGAGAAGAAUAGCAUGGCCCCUGAUUAAGGAUGACAUGUAAAUCUGUGAGGUGUUCCAUAUUUUU